AUUGAACGCUGGCGGCAUGCCUUACACAUGCAAGUCGAACGGUAACGGGCCUUCGGGUGCCGACGAGUGGCGAACGGGUGAGUAAUGCAUCGGAACGUACCUUUCAGUGGGGGAUAACGUAGCGAAAGUUACGCUAAUACCGCAUAUUCUGUGAGCAGGAAAGCAGGGGAUCGCAAGAACUUGCGCUGAUUGAGCGGCCGAUGUCAGAUUAGCUAGUUGGUGAGGUAAAGGCUCACCAAGGCGACGAUCUGUAGCGGGUCUGAGAGGAUGAUCCGCCACACUGGGACUGAGACACGGCCCAGACUCCUACAGGAGGCAGCAGUGGGGAAUUUUGGACAAUGGGGGCAACCCUGAUCCAGCCAUGCCGCGUGAGUGAAGAAGGCCUUCGGGUUGUAAAGCUCUUUCGGCCGGGAAGAAAUCGCACAGGCUAAUACCUUGUGUGGAUGACGGUACCGGAAUAAGAAGCACCGGCUAACUACGUGCCAGCCGCCGCUGUAACAC
rnacentral:rRNA from 1 species